UCUGAAGCUUACGAUAUGGCACAGAGGUUCAUUUAUCCAUAUACGAUGUGAAUUUCACUAUCAUAAACUCCUCCUACAUCACUUUAAAGCACAUGGUGCUUGUUGACAGCUUAUCAAGGAAAACAAGUGCCGGCUAAAUGCAAGAGGACAAGUUUCCUCCUCUGUUUGGAGAAAAUAGAACUGAAUACUGAAACUGCAUUGAGCCAAUAGUCAGGUUAUUCUCAAAGCAGCAGCCAAGGAUUACUCCACAUGGUCAACACUGAUGCAACUCAAUUUUACACACACAGCUGCCAGUCACGAGAGGAAGCAUCUGUUUUAGGAUAUGCCAAGUAUCAGAACUUCUAGGACCACGGAGAGUGCUUCCACGAGCCCGGAGGGGCAUCCCUCCACUUCCUGUGUGCGAAGGAAUGUAUUUUACUAUUAGUAUUAAGUAUUUACAGGAAAUAAAAUCGGAGGUGUGGAUGUAUGUGGAUGUUUAUUCAUCUU